AUUGAACGCUGGCGGCAGGCUUAACACAUGCAAGUCGAGCGGAGAUGAGGUGCUUGCACCUUAUCUUAGCGGCGGACGGGUGAGUAAUGCUUAGGGAUCUGCCUAUUAGUGGGGGACAACAUUCCGAAAGGAAUGCUAAUACCGCAUACGCCCUACGGGGGAAAGCAGGGGAUCUUCGGACCUUGCGCUAAUAGAUGAGCCUAAGUCGGAUUAGCUAGUUGGCGGGGUAAAGGCCUACCAAGGCGACGAUCUGUAGCGGGUCUGAGAGGAUGAUCCGCCACACUGGGACUGAGACACGGCCCAGACUCCUACGGGAGGCAGCAGUGGGGAAUAUUGGACAAUGGGCGGAAGCCUGAUCCAGCCAUGCCGCGUGUGUGAAGAAGGCCUUUUGGUUGUAAAGCACUUUAAGCGAGGAGGAGGCUACCUGGAUUAAUACUCUAGGAUAGUGGACGUUACUCGCAGAAUAAGCACCGGCUAACUCUGUGCCAGCCGCCGCCGUAAAAC
rnacentral:rRNA from 1 species